rnacentral:lncRNA from 1 species
CCGCUGUGUCAAAGAUUUGACCAGAUACAACCGCUCCAGCUACCCUCCCCGAUAAGCUCCCUACGGCGCCUCCAAUAGAUCCCCCAAUGACACCUCCCAGUAUAGGAAACGGGAUAACCAUCUGACCAAUGCAUGCACCAGCAAUUUCAGAACCUGUUGCUGUGACAACUGAUGUGACAGAACCACCGAUUUUUUUUGUAACUUGUCUUGUAAAAGUUUUUGUACUUAAAUGUGUUUCUUGCUUUUUCCGAUACAUAUUCACUAUUUCCUUCCCGCAAGAUAUAAUUUCUAUUGGAGCUGCAACAGCAACAGUGAUGUUAGAUGAUGCAGCAGCCGCUAUAGCUGAUGAUCCAACUUUAACAACUGUUUUUGCGCCU